UACGGAGGGUGCAAGCGUUGUCCGGAAUCACUGGGCGUAAAGGGCGCGUAGGCGGCCCGGUAAGUAGGGGGUGAAAUCCUGCGGCUUAACCGCAGGGCUGCCUUCUAAACUGUCGGGCUCGAGCACGGUAGAGGCAGAUGGAAUUCCCGGUGUAGCGGUGGAAUGCGUAGAGAUCGGGGAGAACAUCAGUGGCGAAGGCGGUCUGCUGGGCCGUUGCUGACGCUGAGGCGCGACAGCGUGGGGAGCAAACAGG
rnacentral:rRNA from 1 species